UGGGGAAUUUUGGACAAUGGGCGCAAGCCUGAUCCAGCCAUUCCGCGUGAGUGAAGAAGGCCUUCGGGUUGUAAAGCUCUUUCGCAAGGGAAGAAACGAUACAGUCGAAUAAACUGUGUUAAUGACGGUACCUUGAUAAGAAGCACCGGCUAACUACGUGCCAGCAGCCGCGGUAAUACGUAGGGUGCGAGCGUUAAUCGGAAUUACUGGGCGUAAAGCGUGCGCAGGCGGUUUUGUAAGUCAGAUGUGAAAUCCCCGGGCUCAACCUGGGAACUGCGUUUGAAACUACAAGGCUAGAGUGUAGCAGAGGGGGGUAGAAUUCCACGUGUAGCAGUGAAAUGCGUAGAGAUGUGGAGGAAUACCAAUGGCGAAGGCAGCCCCCUGGGUUAACACUGACGCUCAUGCACGAAAGCGUGGGGAGCAAACAGGAUUAGAUACCCUGGUAGUCCACGCCCUAAACGAUGUCUACUAGUUGUUGGUGGAGUAAAAUCCAUUAGUAACGCAGCUAACGCGUGAAGUAGACCGCCUGGGGAGUACGGUCGCAAUUA
rnacentral:rRNA from 1 species